AGGAGGACGUGGCCGCCGCCGCAGUGGGAUGGCGACGCCGACGCCCAUGCCCGGAGGCGAGGGGACGCUCGCGGCGGUGAUGCCGCGGUCUCCGUCGCUAACGCCGGCGGAGGCGUGGAUCUUGGCGACCGAGACGUCGUGCUGAUAUUCCUCUACUUCCACAAGGCGAUCCGUGCGGAGCUCGAGGCGCUGCACGUCGCCGCCGUGCUCCUCGCCACCGAGCGCACAGGCGAUGUAGCGGCGCUCGCCGAGCGCUGCCGCUUCUUCUUCAACGCCGAGGACGCGACUUGGAACACAGGGCUUGGCCCACCUCAUUGGCUCCGACAUGAUGCCUCUCCUAUGGUGAUGACUUCUGUGACUAGUUCUAUAUUUGUUUAUUUUUUACUUGGUUACUAUGGUUUCAUGCCUAAUUGUGUAUGCAUGAUGAAAAUUGUGUUCUCAUACCUGAUAAAAAACUAGUAUCAUGUUUCUACGCACUACUCAGUGAUUUAUUGGGAGCAUUCUAGCAUUGCUGGCUGCAGAGGGUGCUCAACAUUUCCACUUCUGUGAUUUAUUUUUCAUAUUUUUUCUAUGCAGGUUGUAUGAUUAUCCUCAGUCUUUCUAUGCGUAUACUCAAAACUUUCUCUGAUUUGUUACUACUAUUUUUAUACAUUGUUUGGAGCACAUUUUAUACAUUUUGUUGUUGGUUGGGUGCUAAGAUUUUUGCAUGCUGAUCUAAAGGAAAGAUAAUAGUUCUUAUAUUUGCAUGUAUAGAUUUUGAUGCAUUUCUUUGCUAUUAUGUGCAAUGAAUAGGUUUUUGUGCAAUUGACUUUGGAUCUUUAUGCUUCGUGGGUUCUAUGCUUGAUGAAUUAAGAUUUUACACAUUCAGAACCAUUCUGGUGGCAAGUCCAUGCAUGAUGCAAUCCAUGGCCGCGGUGCUGGUAGUUCACGGUGGCGGCGCUAAUGCGAAUCAGCGGUGGUGGUCGGUUGGAUGGAAGAUAGCAAAGGAGCAGCGCGACGCGACCAAGGAUUUUUGCAUUUUGUUUGUUGAAUUUGGUGUUCUUAUGCUUGUGUGCAUAAGUUUCUAUACACACAAUAGAGUACUUCUAUGCACUUUUGUAUUCUUAAUGCUUGUGAGCAUAAGUUUCUAUACAUUGUUGGAGUAGGUCUAUGUUGUUUUUAUGCGACAACAAAUUCACUUUUUAUUCAUCAAAUUACUAAAUUCUAUGUAAUGUCGGCACGAAAAAUAUUUAAGUGUAUCUUGAUCACUGAAUUUAUAAAUCUGGUUGUCUAUCA